rnacentral:rRNA from 1 species
UACAGAGGUGGCAAGCGUUGUUCGGAAUUACUGGGCGUAAAGGGCGCGUAGGCGGUCUUGUCAGUCCCUUGUGAAAUCCCCCGGCUCAACUGGGGAACUGCACGGGAAACAGCAGGGCUUGAGUUCGGGAGAGGGAAGCGGAAUUCCGGGUGUAGCGGUGAAAUGCGUAGAUAUCCGGAGGAACACCGGUGGCGAAGGCGGCUUCCUGGACCGAUACUGACGCUGAGGCGCGAAAGCUAGGGGAGCAAACAGG